CGCGCAGGCGGUUUGCUAAGUCAGAUGUGAAAGCCCAUGGCUCAACCAUGGACGUGCAUUUGAAACUGGCAAGCUUGAGUAGUGGAGGGGGUGGUGGAAUUCCCGGUGUAGAGGUGAAAUUCGUAGAUAUCGGGAGGAAUACCGGUGGCGAAGGCGACCACCUGGCCACAUACUGACGCUGAGGCGCGAAAGCGUGGGGAGCAAACA
rnacentral:rRNA from 1 species